AUUGAACGCUGGCGGAAUGCUUUACACAUGCAAGUCGAACGGCAGCACAGACUUCGGUCUGGUGGCGAGUGGCGAACGGGUGAGUAAUGUAUCGGAACGUGCCCAGUCGUGGGGGAUAACGUAGUGAAAAUUACGCUAAUACCGCAUACGAUCUAUGAAUGAAAGCGGGGGAUCGCGAGACCUCGCGCGAUUGGAGCGGCCGAUAUCAGAUUAGGUAGUUGGUGGGGUAAAGGCCCACCAAGCCAACGAUCUGUAGCUGGUCUGAGAGGACGACCAGCCACACUGGAACUGAGACACGGUCCAGACUCCUACGGGAGGCAGCAGUGGGGAAUUUUGGACAAUGGGCGAAAGCCUGAUCCAGCCAUUCCGCGUGCAGGAUGAAGGCCCUCGGGUUGUAAACUGCUUUUGUACAGAACGAAAAGGUUUCUACUAAUACUAGGAGCUCAUGACGGUACUGUAAGAAUAAGCACCGGCUAACUACGUGCCAGCCGCCGCCGUAA
rnacentral:rRNA from 1 species